GGUGAGAGGCGUGGUACACCCUGGACAGGGCAUCAGCCUAUCACAGAGACAAACAACCAUUUGCAAUGUCAAUUUAGGGUCACAGAUUAGCCUAACGAGCAUGAACAUUUGGAGGGAGGAGCCAGAGUACCUGGUGAAAACCCACGUGGACCCAGGAACUUGCAAACUCCAUCCAGAAGGGCCUGAGCUGGACACGAACUCUGACUUUCUCACUGGGAGGCAUCAGCGCUAUACUGAAGACCUUUAGUUGUCUAAUUUGACUUCAGUUACACUUCCUCUUGAUCUUCUCACCUCCUGUCUAAGAAGAAGUAAGACUCAAGAGGUGGAAAGUUCAUGGAAAAGAUGUGUGGAGUGGACCGGACAUCGGAGACGGCUGUCACCUCAGUAUCUGAACAAAAAGAACCCUGACUGGCACACCAAAUGGAUGCACAACAAGAUUUAGCUACAUCUUCCACCUGCCAAAUGGAGGAUGUGCAACCUUCUAAACUGAAGACUGCUUGUGAAGUGUAAAUUAUAAUAUUUCAAUAAGAUAAUCAUGAACUGAUCUAUUAAAUGCUAUCU